rnacentral:lncRNA from 1 species
UUUUUUUUUUUUUUUUUUUUUUGUCUUUUUGCCAUUUCUUGGGUCGCUCCCGCGGCAUAUGGAGGUGUGGCCCUAAAAAGAAAAAAAAAAGAAUGUUCUUGAUGAAGCAGCAAAAAUUACUGAUAUUAUUAAACUUUAGUAAACUAUUAAAUUGCAUUAAAUCUCAACCUUUCUUACAUCUUCUUAAUAGUCUGUAAAAUGAAAUGGGAAAUACAUAUAAAGCUUUCUGCUGCAUGUCAAAGUACAAUGGCUAUGUUCAGGUAAAAUACUUGUGCAACUGUUUAAAUUGUGAGCCAUUUUUACUUGCAAGCACAAUUGACAAAAAAUGGUUAUUCAGACUUAGGUACCCGGCAAUUGUCUUCUCAAAAAUGAACAAAAUGGGAUUGUCACGUGAGGGAAAAUAAUUGACAGUCGUGUGUUGUCAAUGAUAAAAUUCAAACUUUCAAGUGAAAAUUAGAAUUUUGGGACUCUUAUAUCUUCCAGUAUGAGUUGAAAGCUUUCUAACAACUCCUCUGUUGAGAUUGAUUCUGAUAUUAAUAAAUAUGAAUUUUUAAUAUUUUAUAAUAAAAUGUCAUUUAGCUCAGUGAACAUAAUUCAGGGGACCACUAUUUUCCAAACACUGUAACAUCCAAUGUAUAAUGUUACAAAAUCUUGGUGGAUAAAAGAUUCACUCAAAGUGAAAGAUAUACGAAUGGACUUUAAUACAAAGAGUAUAAAAAUUCAAUGAUAUGGUUUCAGAUUAAACACUACUAACUCUUAAAAAACUACCACUUGUCAAGUUUUGGUAUAGUAUCAAAGAAGAGAAAAACAGUCCUCUUUUCUCCAACUACAUGCAUUGAUAAACCUGGAUUUUCUUCAUAAACUUUACCCAAAAUAAUAUAACAACUUAAUGCAGAAGCAAAUUUGAGAAUCCUAUCUUCUACUAAGUCAGAAAUAAAAAAAGAUUUGUAAAAAUGUAAAAACAAUACCAGUCUUCCCUCUAAAUAUGUUUGUUUCAGAAAAUAGAGUUAUUUCCCAUUUUAUAACGUAUUGCUUAUAUUAACGUAACUUAUGUUAACAGCUAUUAACUAAUGUUAAUAGCAAAUAUGGCUUUGCUGCUGUCAUUCUUAAAUGAGUAAUAAAUAAAAUUUCUUUCGGGAGUUCCCUUCAUGGCUCAACAGUUAAGGAACCUGACUAGGAUCCAUGAGGAUGCAGGUUCAAUCCCUGGACUCACUCAGUGGGUUAAGGACCCAGCACUGCCAUGAGCUGUGGGGUAGGUCGCAGACGCAGCUCAGAUCCUGCGUUGUUGUGGCUGUGGUGUAGGGCUGCAGCUGAAGCUCAGAUCCAAGCCCUAGCCUGGGAACUUCCAUAUGCCACAAGUGUGGCUCUAAAAAGAAAAAAGAAAAAACAAAAUUCCUUUUGAGUUCCCACGUUCAUUUAUAAUACAGCAAAUAUGGAUAGAUAUAAGCCACAUAAAUGAAAGUUCUUCAGAGUUUCAUUAAGUUUUAAGACUAUAAAGGGAUCCUCAGCCCUUAAUUUGAGAAUCACUAGGUACAGCAUUGAAGAGACUAGAAUGUGCAGUUA